AGAAAAUACAUACACACUUUAAUCCUUUGCAUUUGAGAAGCAACUCUCAACACGGCGUUCCGUGCUGCAACUCCAGUGGCGAGCAAGAGGCAACAGUCCCUGUUUAUGGUAGAUUUUGACAUCUCCAAUUGUUGAGAGUGCAAUAUUAAAGUGUAAAGUGUCAGACUUUAAAAUACAGAUGAAAUAUUUAAUCCCAUAUCCCUCCGAAACUAUGGUUCUGACAACGUCUCCAGCGUUAGUUCGGAAGCGACGGUCAUGGCAAAAGUAUUAUAGGUUAGAAACCCUAAAAAAUGGUUUUCGGAAGUGAAAUUAACUCAAAUGAAGAUGAACUUCAUUUUGAA